GUGUCAUCAUAGCUCCCUGCAGCCCUGCACUUAUGGGCUCAAGUGAUCUUCCUGCCUCAGUUUCCCGAGUAGAUGGGGCUACAGGCCGCCACUGCACCCAGUUCAUUUUGCUAGUCUUUGUAGAGACUGGAUUUCUCUGUGUUUCUCGGGAUAAUCUUGAACUCCUGGCCUCAAGGGAUCCUCCUGCCUCAGCGACGGACGUGCUGGGAUCGCAGGACCACAGGUGCAGCGCAGAGCUGAAUGCAGGGUACUUUCUUCCCAGGCAGAAAUUUUUGUUUUUCUGUUGCCAAAUGUACUGGCCUUUACUUGUGAACAUCUGGACUUUCUUUCCUGCUGAGGAAACACCCGUGUUGAGAAGGCCUUGGAGGUGAUCAGAAAUCAUCUGGCAUUUUCUCGUAGAUCUUUUUUGUUAGGUGUUUUGCAGUUGAGUCUCUGACUGCCCUGCAGUCCAGCUAGUGUUUAUGCAGCCUCCCCAGCACCGUCCCCCGCGGGGGCUUCACUCACCUGCACGUCCAGGCAGACACUGGGGACCUGGCCGCAGGAGGGGCCCAAGCCAGGCCUGGACAGAGGAGAGGAGGACACAGGGCAGGGAGUGCAGGUUGGCUGGGGAGCCCGUGCAUGCUGUCACCUGCACCCGUCCAUGGGGGGCCUGCUGAGUACCAGGCACUAUCCUGGUGACAGCAGCUGCAACCCCAGCGGCAGUGCUUGGGCACCACAGGUGGCAGGGAGAGUCGUGCACAGCAUGACGCUGGAUCAGAUAAAUGCAAAACAAGGCAGGUCAGGGAUGUGGUGACAGGUGACAUAGCCAGGUGGCCAGGAAGGGUGAUGUCUGAGAAGGAAGAAAGAGCGCAGCAGACAGGCGGGUGGCACACAAUGGCCCAGCGCUACCAAGCAGUUUGGGACUUUU